UGUUUCCCAUGAGGCUCUGCCUCUUGGAAAAGCUGCUGCCUCAACACCCAGGUUUUCCCAUACAUACUCUGGAGUCUAGACAAAGGCUCCCAAGCCUCUAGUUUUGUGCUCUGUGCACCUGCUGGCUUAGUACUAUGUGGAAGCCACCAAGGUUUGAAGCUUGCACCCCUGAAGCAGUGAUGCAAGCUGUACCUGUGCAUCUUUCAGCCGUGACUGGAGCUGGAGCUGGAGCUGGAGCUGCAGGGAUGCAGGCAGCAGUGUCCUGAGGAUGAACACAGCAACGCGACCAUGGGACUCACCCAGGAAAGCAUUCUUGGGUCCUAGAACUCGGGGCCUGUGACAGCAAGCUCUGCUGCAAAGGUCUCUGAAAUGGCUUCAAGACCUUUUAACCUUGUCUUAGCUAUUAGCACUGGGCUCCAUUUUAUGCAAGGUAAAAGAAGAAAAGUCCAUUUUCAGGGGGAAAAUUCAAGAAGCCUUCAGAUAUUUGCAUAUAGAAGAAGCCAAAUGCUAAUAGUAAAAAAAAAAAAGAUGAAGAAACCUUGAGGGCAUUUCAUAGCUCCACUCUACAGUACAAAUUUUCUGUAGUAUUAUUUUUAAAAGAGGUUUAACUGGCUCAUGUUUCUGCAGGCUGUAAAGGCAGCAAGUGGCUUC
rnacentral:lncRNA from 10 species